AGUACAGUCAGCGCCAGCGUGAGGGAGGAGAGGUGUGUUGCUACUCUCCUCCUGCACCGCCGCCGCCACUGGACCCCGGCAUUCCCAAAGACCCAAGAAACGACCAAGGGACACCCGGACGGCCUUGCAGUGUAUCCAGGGAGGAUGAGGGACCAAAGCUGUUAGGAAGACUGUGCGAAAGAUAUUACGCUGUUAUCUUUAAAUGAAUGGUGAGUGUACAGCAGGCAGGUCACAGCUCGAUGCAGGUGUGGUGCUGCGCUAUGAUCACGGCCAGGCGUCACAACUCUUCGGCAAGCUGCCUGCACGAAGAGAUGCCUUGAACACCCCGAUGGAACAAUCCAGCUGUUUGAGAAAAGGGACGUCAACUUUCGAAAACAAAAAAACUUAUGUUGCCUCUCAAUUUGAUAAAUUAAGUUAGCUGAUGUCCAGCUUAGCCCCCUCACGUACUAUGCUUAUCUAUUACUGUGUUAUAUUGUUUAUUGAAAUUUUUUUAAAAAAGGAUCAAGGAUGAUAAUUUAACAAAGCAUGUU